CAGGAACCACAGCGCCUCCUCCUGGCCGGUGACAGCCACCUGGUGCACAGCCUGAGCCCCGACUGCGUCAGCGGCCGUUGGAGACGCCAGCAGCACAAACAAAAGCAGCCUGGCCACAGAAAUGUGUCCGUUCCUGACGGCGUCCAUGAAAGGAGUGACUCCACAGCUGUCCGUGCAGUCUGGGGUGUAGACACAUCUGGGGGAGGACCGAAGAACCAAGAUCCUCACAACCUCCUCACAGCCGUGCAUCGCUGGAUGAACAGAGAGAGCACGAGUUAUAAUCUGACAAUGAACACAGAAG